GAUGAACGCUAUCGGAAGGCUUAAUACAUGCAAGUCGAGCGGUAAAAAUCUGAGCAAUUGGAUUUGAGAGCGGCGCACGGGUGAGUAACGCGUACAUGACCUACCUUUAAGAUCGGGAUAGCCCUGGGAAACUGGGAUUAAUACCGGAUGUGAUAAUAAGUAUAGAGAUUUAUUAUUAAAGCUGAGGCGCUUAGAGAUGGGUGUGCGUCUGAUUAGCUAGUUGGUAGGGUAAAGGCCUACCAAGGCGACGAUCGGUAACUGGUCUGAGAGGAUGAUCAGUCACACUGGAACUGAGACACGGUCCAGACUCCUACGGGAGGCAGCAGUGGGGAAUAUUGGACAAUGGGGGCAACCCUGAUCCAGCCAUGCCGCGUGUGUGAAGAAGGCCUCGGUUGUU
rnacentral:rRNA from 1 species